rnacentral:rRNA from 1 species
UACGUAGGGAGCGAGCGUUGUCCGGAAUUACUGGGCGUAAAGGGCGCGUAGGCGGGAUAUUAAGUCAGGUGUGAAAACGUAGGGCUCAACUUUACGAUUGCACAUGAAACUGGUAUUCUUGAGGACAGGAGAGGAAAGUGGAAUUCCUAGUGUAACGGUGAAAUGCGUAGAUAUCAGGAGGAACACCGGUGGCGAAGGCGGCUUACUGGACAGUAACUGACGUUGAGGCUCGAAAGCGUGGGGAGCAAACAGGAUUAGAUACCCGGGUAGUCCCUGAGCGGGCU